CCUACGUGUGGCAGCAGUGGGGAAUAUUGGGCGAUGGGCGCAAGCCUGACCCAGCAACGCCGCGUGAAGGAAGAAGGCUUGCGGGUUGUAAACUUCUUUUCUCAGGGACGAAGAAAGUGACGGUACCUGUCGAAUAAGCCACGGCUAACUACGUGCCAGCAGCCGCGGUACUACGUAGGUUGCAAGCGUUGUCCGGAUUUCCUGGGUGUAAAGGGCGUGUAGCCGGGUUGACAAGUCAGAUGUGAAAUCCUGCGGCUUAACCGCAGAGCUGCAUUUGAAACUGUUGAUCUUGAGUAAUGGAGAGGCAGACGGAAUUCCUAGUGUAGCGGUGAAAUGCGUAGAUAUUAGGAGGAACACCAGUGGCGAAGGCGGUCUGCUGGACAGCAACUGACGGUGAGGCGCGCAAGCGUGGGGAGCAAACAGGAUUAGAUACCCGUGUAGUC
rnacentral:rRNA from 1 species